rnacentral:rRNA from 1 species
GACGAACGCUGGCGGCGUGCUUAACACAUGCAAGUCGAACGGAAAGGCCCUGCUUUUGUGGGGUGCUCGAGUGGCGAACGGGUGAGUAACACGUGAGUAACCUGCCCUUGACUUUGGGAUAACUUCAGGAAACUGGGGCUAAUACCGGAUAGGAGCUCCUGCUGCAUGGUGGGGGUUGGAAAGUUUCGGCGGUUGGGGAUGGACUCGCGGCUUAUCAGCUUGUUGGUGGGGUAGUGGCUUACCAAGGCUUUGACGGGUAGCCGGCCUGAGAGGGUGACCGGCCACAUUGGGACUGAGAUACGGCCCAGACUCCUACGGGAGGCAGCAGUGGGGAAUAUUGCACAAUGGGCGGAAGCCUGAUGCAGCAACGCCGCGUGCGGGAUGACGGCCUUCGGGUUGUAAAACGCUUUCGCCUGUGACGAAGCGUGAGUGACGGUAAUGGGUAAAGAAGCACCGGCUAACUACG